rnacentral:rRNA from 1 species
GACGAACGCUGGCGGCGUGCCUAAUACAUGCCAGUAGAACGCUGAAGGAGGAGCUUGCUUCUCCGGAUGAGUUGCGAACGGGUGAGUAACGCGUAGGUAACCUGCCUGGUAGCGGGGGAUAACUAUUGGAAACGAUAGCUAAUACCGCAUAAGAGUAGAUGUCGCAUGACAUUUGCUUAAAAGGUGCAACUGCACCACUACCAGAUGGACCUGCGUUGUAUUAGCUAGUUGGUGAGGUAACGGCUCACCAAGGCAACGAUACAUAGCCGACCUGAGAGGGUGAUCGGCCACACUGGGACUGAGACACGGCCCAGACUCCUACGGGAGGCAGCAGUAGGGAAUCUUCGGCAAUGGACGGAAGUCUGACCGAGCAACGCCGCGUGAGUGAAGAAGGUUUUCGGAUCGUAAAGCUCUGUUGUAAGAGAAGAACGAGUGUGAGAGUGGAAAGUUCACACUGUGACGGUAUCUUACCAGAAAGGGACGGCUAACUACGUG